UACGUAGGAGGCAAGCGUUGUCCGGAAUUACUGGGCGUAAAGAGCGUGUAGGCGGUCCGGUAAGUCCGCUGUGAAAGUCGGGGGCUCAACCCUCGAAUGCCGGUGGAUACUGUCGGGCUAGAGUGCGGAAGAGGCGACUGGAAUUCCUGGUGUAGCGGUGGAAUGCGCAGAUAUCAGGAGGAACACCGAUGGCGAAGGCAGGUCACUGGGCCGCAACUGACGCUGAGGAGCGAAAGCGUGGGGAGCAAACAGG
rnacentral:rRNA from 1 species